UGCUCUUCGUCAAUCCUAAUCUGACCAAUUCUUCCAUAGCUUUCCAUGUGUCUUCGAGUCGUACGUCGUCUUCUUGGAAAUCAAGCAAUUCGUAUUCGUUGGCUGCGGGCUGUAAUUAGUAAUCAGAUUCGCAUUUUAUAUUGGACAUUAGUGCACUGCAAUGAGAAGUACAAAUAUAAUAGGUAUGAACAGCUGGAUACCAAUGAUGAAGAUGAAGGAUGUUCCCAGGCAAGAUGAUCCGAUGCAAUCCUUAACCAGUGAAAUAAUAGAACAGAACUCCCAUGUCAUAUUGUCAAAGUCAUGUAUACUGCAUAGGUACCUAAAGAUAUUCAGAGGACCUAUCAAUCCUGCAGAAAUGCAGAUGACAGCUGAAUUCGAAGAUGACAGACAAUGCACCUUUACUGGAUCUGCUAAUAAAGAAUACCUACUCUGUUUUCACGGUUGGAAACUUCACUAAAGGCUGGCGAUGGCGUGCAUCAAGCAUCAUACAUAUUAUAGCGGGAGAAGCAGUUGGGUCAAUUCCAUAGGAUGAAGCUGUUGUGUAAUGUUUCUGUCAUCCUCAUUGUAUUCGAAUUUUGGCGCUUAUGCUCUGUUUUGGAUGUGUUUGUCAUUUUUGUCUGCCAUUUGUGAUAUUGUUUUCUUCAUUUUUCAAAUGCUUAUACCUGCUACAAAUAAUGAUCAGUUCGCGGUACCUGCUAUAAUUUAAAAUGUGGGUACAAUGUUUUAAAAAGCUUCAAUUUUUUGCAGGAAUAUCAACUAAUUUUUUGGAAUUGUUGAAUUAUAUUUCGUACAAUUAUGUGGUGUUUUGUUUUGCUUGUUUGUUUAUUGUUUUUUUGUUUUUGUUUUUGAUUCAAUUUGACCAUUAUUCAUAUUCUUUUUCUGUAAUGUUUCACUUGCUGUGUGAGUCUAUUAAAAUUUUGUAUGUACCUAUCAAAAUAUUUUUCUAGCACCUUAAUCAAUUUAAAUUUCAUAAAAUGUGAUUUAAUAAAUAGCCAACUAUUGUUUGUUAUGUACGUAAGUACUAGGUAUGUGUAUUUUGAAAAAAAUUCAAAUAUUUUAUGCUUUUAAAAAGAGUAAUUUUA